rnacentral:misc_RNA from 1 species
AAGGAUCAUUAUCGAAUAAACUUGAACAGGCUGUUGCUGGUCCCUUGGGGCAUGUGCACGCUCGUCAUCUUUAUAUAUCUCUCCAACUGUGCACAUAGUGUAGACCGAGUUGGGACUGCUGUGCUUUUCUUUAGCCGGCUUUCCCUUUUUUUAAUUUCAGGUCUAUUAUUUUAACACAAACCCUGUGAUAUUAGAAUGUUGAAUAAAAUCAAUUUUAUACAACUUUCAGCAACGGAUCUCUUGGCUCUC